GACGUAGGGGGCGAGCGUUGUCCGGAAUUACUGGGCGUAAAGAGCACGUAGGCGGAGACUUAAGUCAGGUGUGAAAGACCGGGGCUCAACCCCGGGGUGGCACAUGAAACUGAGUCCCUUGAGGGCAGGAGAGGAAAGCAGAAUUCCUGGUGUAGCGGUGAAAUGCGUAGAAAUCAGGAGGAAUACCAGUGGCGAAGGCGGCUUUCUGGACUGACCCUGACGCUGAGGUGCGAAAGCGUGGGUAGCAAACAGG
rnacentral:rRNA from 1 species